GACGAACGCUGGCGGCGUGCUUAACACAUGCAAGUCGAACGGUGAACGAGGGAGCUUGCUCCCUCCGGAUCAGUGGCGAACGGGUGAGUAACACGUGAGCAAUCUGCUCCGAUUUCGGGGAUAAGCGUUGGAAAAGACGUACAAUACCAGCGAAGACGCGGGAGGGCAGACUCCCCGCGAGCAACGCACUUCGGUUUGGGAUGAGCGCGGGGCCUAGCAGCGUGUUGGGGAGGGAACGGGUCCCAAAGGCGCCGACGGGUAGCCGGCCUGAGAGGGUGACCGGCCACACUGGGACUGAGACACGGCCCAGACUCCUACGGGAGGCAGCAGUGGGGAAUAUUGCCCAAUGGGCGCAAGCCUGAUGCAGCAACGCCGCGUGAGGGACGACGGCCUUCGGGUUGUAAACCUCUUUUGGCAGGGAAGAAGCGAAAGUGACGGUACCUGCAGAAAAAGCACCGGCUAACUACGUG
rnacentral:rRNA from 1 species